CCGUCCUGCAAGUUUAGUUCAGAUCGAAUGGUCGGAUCGCUCACAAUCGCACGAUUAGACGGUUAUCGUUUAACACAGACUUUAACUCACUGAAUCGGACUAUCCGGGACUCCGAUUCACGAUCUGUGGGUUCCUACAUGAUCCUUGGAGUGCCUAGAUCAACAUAUAUUAAAUUGAAGACGAUCCAACAGUUCAAACCUAUCGACCCUGGAAAUUGCACAACAGGUGAAAUCCAUUCAAGAUUCAAACGACAUCAGAAUUGAAUUCCGAGCACAUCUACGUGCUCGUAACAACACGAGGAUCAUAUCAGUGCGUGGGUGUGUAGAGUAAUUUCUGGGGACGGAAAACUCCAUAUCAGUGCCUAUCCACCUUGCCCACGCGGUGCCACACGCGUCGACAGUGCGUGGGUGUGUAGAGCAAUUUCUGGGGACGAAAAACUCCACAUCGCCACUCACCCUUCCUACCCUAACUACUACUCGAGGUGGUGAUCAUUUUAUUCAACUGUGAGUAGCCGAAUUUCACACGAAUUUCAAUGUGAAAUCUGGCCAAAACCUAGUUUUCAAAAUCGUGAUCUUGAACACAAAAUCAAUCCAAUCUUACCCAACGAGCAGCUAGAACUUGAAAAUUAAGGGAGAAACCUCACCUGAUCCGCCGUGAAAGGGCGACGAUCGGAGCGGUGCGACGGCGAGAAAAUUCCAGAUUGAACCAGACAAAACCGUGGCCGGAAUUCAAAGUUUCCAGCCUGGAGCUUGGGUGCGGCGUAACCGGGACGUUGAGCCGGAUCGAACAUGACCGGUCUCACAUCUUGCCAUGGCCGGACAGCAGCAAAUCAAAGAGAGAUAGAGAGAG
rnacentral:lncRNA from 1 species